GAUGGCUGCUCCACCUGCAAUGAUAGAAGAUGUUGAUGAUCUUGACUUAAUUCCAGAUGAAGAGCUGGAGGAAACUUAUCUUGAGAGAAUAAUUGGUCUUAGAGAAAUGUUCCCACGUUCAGCCAGGACGGGAGGAGCCUUUGUGGCCACCACCACCAAAACCUCAUCGCUGUGGCUGUAUCAUUUUAUAAAGAGUGCGAUAUGGAUCACAACUACAUCUGCUAUUAUAAUGGCCCUUCCAGUGGCCAUCGAGAUAACUCAGAUUCAAGCUGCUGAUGACAUGAAGAAGGUGCGGCAGGAGAAAUUGUUUGCUAAAUAGUGCACUGUGUGUGAUUAUGAAUGAAGUUUGUGGUACUUUGUACAUGUCUGCCAGUCUGUUAACCAGGAAACUAGCUAAAUUCAAUGUGUCUUUUCCAUUUGAGUCAUCUAUAAAUCAUCUAUGGCUUAGGUUACAACCAAGAGUUUGUUGCGAACUUGCUAAUAUUGAUCACAAGCAGAUUGAUAUAUUUGUUUAAGUUUAAACUUUUGAAAUUUUGGACCAUUAAGUAGCAGUUCAGUGCACUAAGACUUAUCAAAAAGUUUUUACACAGUAUUUUGUCGUUAUUUGAACUCACUGCACUAUUAUGACCUAGAACCUGACUCUAUUUCUAACUAUACGGCAACAGUCAGAAUUUGAUGCUCACAAAACCUCUUAUUGAUUUGCAGAUACUGUUAUAUGGAGAUAUUCUAUAUCUUAUGUUAAUAAUUUAUUAUUUUUA